rnacentral:lncRNA from 1 species
UUGAGAUCGUGCCACUGUACUGCAGCCUGGGUGACAGAGUGAGAGUCUGUCUCAAAAAAUAAAUAAGAGGCCCCAGAGAAAUCCUGCCAUGUGAGGUUACAGUGAGAAGAUGGCCAUGAGGAACAGGUCCUCACCAGACAUGGAAUCUGCAGACACGUUGGUCUUAGACUUCCCAGCCUCUGGAACCUCACCCUGGUGGGUGUGAAGUGAAUCUCACUGUGAUUUUCAUUUACAUUCCCUGGAUGGCUAAUGAUGCUGAGCGUCUGUUCGCGUGCUGGCUGGCUGUGUACUUUCUUUGGAAAAAUGGAAAAAGGACAGUUUUUUUCGAACAGUGGUUGCUGGGAAAACUCGGUAUCUGCAUGCAAAAGAAUGAAGUUGGACCUUUGUCUUACACUAUAUACAAAAAUAAAAUAGAUCGAAGCUCUAAUAGAAAAGCUAAAAAUAGAAAACUCUUAGAAGAAAACAUAGAGGAAAUCUUCGUGAUAUUGGAUUUGCCAGUUAUUUCUUGGAUAUCAUUGGAUGCUGAAAGCAUAGACUACAAAAGAGAAAAAAUAAAUUGGACUUCAUCAAAAUUAAAAACUUUUGUGCAUCAAAGGACGCUAUAAAAAAUGUGACAAGACAACCCACGGAAUGAGAGAAGCUAUUUGUAAACCAUAUAUUUGAAAAAGGAUUAAUAUUCAGAAUAUACAAAGAAUUUCUGGGAGGCUGAGGUGAGAGGAUCAUUUGAGUCCAGGAGUUCCAGACCAGCCUGGGCAAUAUAGUGAGACCCUAUCUCUACACAAAAUAAAAUAAUUAGCCAGGUAUGGUGGUGCAUGCCUGUGGUCCCAGCUACUAGGGAGGCUGAGGUGGGAGGAUUGCUUGAGCCCAGGAUGUCGAGGCUGCCGUGAGCCUUGACUAUGCCACUGACUCCAACCUGGGUGACAGAAGGAGACCUUGUCUCAAAAAAAACAAAAAACAGAAAUAAGCAAAGAGAACCUCGAAGACAUUAUGCUAAGAGAAAUAAGUCAGUCACAAAAAGGUAAAUACUGUAUGAUUCCAGAUAUAUGAAAUCUCUAUAGUAGUCAGAUUCACAAAGACAGCAGAACGGUGAUGGGCAAGCGGUGGGGGUAAGGAGCUGGAAGAAAUGGAGAAUUGUGGAAUAGGCAUAGAGUAUCCAUUUUUGCAAGAUAAAGAGUUCUGGAGAUCAGUGAAUGUACUUAACAUGACUGGACUGUACAUGUAAAAGACGG